GCCCGCUUCUACCACCAGGUGGACGACCGGCUCUACACCAUCUACCAGUUCUUCUUCGAGAACUACACCGGCGUGCAGGUAAUUCUGUAUGGUGAUUUGCCUAAAAGUAAAGAGAAUGUGGUAUAUAUAUCAAAUUAUCAAGUAAAGGUUUGUACAUUGCUGGUUUCUCUGUAAGGCAUUUUAUGUAACGUUAAUAAGUCUAAUUCUGUGUGAUAUGCUACAUAGCAUGGGAGGAUCUAAUGCUAAAAUAAUAAUAUAGGAUCCAGAUUGGGUUGGUCAUUAGGUCCCAGUGACCAACACAAAUUGGAUCCUGCAAUAUUAUCCUGGGAUAUAUAUAUUCACCUUCAUUCAUAAAAUAAUAAUUAUAAACAUAUAAAGGGUAAAGUAGAACUAUAGGUAAUCUUCACUUAAUGACCACGGUUAGUUGUUCAGAGUCUUGGUUAUUCAGCAAAGCGGUCAAUAAGCAAGAUACUUACAACUGUUUCAUUGAACAACUGCAAUCCCAACAUUCCCCACUGUGCUCUUGGACAUAUCUGAUGUGUUUUGAAAGGCGGAUUAAAAUGGCUUCUUUUGUAUAGGUGGUAUUUUUCUCAGGUAAUUCUCUUUCUACAAAUUUGUUUGUUUGUUUAUAUAUUUUAUUUAUUUAUUAUUUUAUUUAUUUGAUUUCUAUACCGCCCUUCUCCCGAAGGACUCAGGGCGGUGUACAGGCAAGAAUAAAACAGACGGUACAAUAUACAAAUUUAAAAUGCAGUUAAAAAACUUAUUUUAAAAUUGGCCUGAGAAGUAAAAUAUAUAAUAAGCUAAAAAACCCCAUUUAAAAUUAAUUUCUAAGAAUUUAAAAAUUUGUCAAAAUCAAUUUAAGCCAGCCCCGCGCGAAUAAAAAGAUGUGUCUUCAGUUCGCGACGGAAUGUCCGAAGGUCAGGUAUUUGGCGUAAAUAGUAUAUAGCUGCCCAUCUCACAGAAAACUUUGUAGUAAUGUAAAGUAACUAGGAAUUAUUGCUUAUUUUUGAUACAAUUGAUUCUGCAAAUAUUUGGAAGUAAAUUCAUUAGUUUCAGUAAAAUACCAUCCCCAGUAAAGGACAUGGAAUCUUAUCUUGCUGAGGCAUAGGGCAUAAGAACUAUAAAUAAAUAUAUCUUAGUAAUAAAUUACCAUUGCAUAUUUUGAAAGAAGAUAAAUAGAAUAUCAUUUUUCUUCUCAAAUUAAUUGAUUUUGUUUUUGUGCUCCAAAAGAAAUGUAUGCUUGGUUUUCAAACUGAUUUAGUUCUCCUCCCAAUCAUAAACAGAGUUUACCCCAUCUUCUACUCCACCCUCCCCUUGUUAAGUGAAACUCACCUUAAUGUGAAUGUUUUGGCCAUAAUAAAUGGCUAAAGUUGCCACAGUACUUUCAUUGUGCUGCAAGAUUAUCUUUGUUAAUGCCCUGAAAAAUGCUAAAUAUUUCAAUCCUAAUUAGAUUUACUUUGAUUUAGAAAUUACAUAGCACUUAUUAUAGCCAAGCAAAUUGGCAUCAUCAACUUAAGUAGCCACUGAACCAAACAAAUUUAAGGAUUCCUAUAUAAGCUAUCUAUCUUAAUGUUAACAUCUAUUUCAUUAAUGUCAAUAAAGCAAAAUAGAGUUGUCUUACAGUAGAAUGAAGCAAAACAGUUGAACACAUGCUGGAUAUGUUAAAUGUGGCAAUAUACCGUAAUUGAUAAUAGAUAUAAAGAAGUUGAUUCUAUAACAACCUUGCUUGACAUUUCAAUUGGUGAUGUGCAAGGGAACAUCUUAUUUGCAUACUGAAAUUCUUGUAAACAUUUUGACAAGAAUUAAAGGGUAUAUUCUACAAUUGUGCCUCCUAAUUUUAUCCACAGCUUGCUUCCAUCAUUAAACCAAGAGAUGUGCUAAAAUAGCAGUGUCAAUACAGAUUUAACUUUUGCUAUAACAUAUUUGUUAAUCCCAAAUAUUAACAAUAGUCAAAUGCUGAAAAAUAGUUGUAAACUAUUCCUUCCUUCCUCCCUCCCUCCCUCCCUCCCUCCUUUUUCCCAACAACUCUAGGAAUAGAAUAAAAAAUAAACAAAGAUUUAAAAAAAUUAAUAACUAUAACUAUUCUAUAACUCUCUGGCAUUCAUUUUCAAAAUACUGUCGUUUUUAACUCUGCAUCCAUUUGGCCAAUAAGUGAAGUCACAGUAUAUUUCUCCUUGUCUGUGCAGCUUCAAUAGAAUUAGCUGCUGCAUGGAAGAUUUUUUGUCUUUUUCCCAGAAGGGGAAACUGGUAGAGAAUAUCAAACGUUGCUGUUUGAUCACAUCAAAAGCUCUAUAUAAUCCAGCAUCCUCUUUCCUACAUUGACUGGCAGGUGAUAGUCCUGUUGCUGCUGAUUGUCACCAGCUUUAUAGCCUACAUGUCUCAAAAUGGUAGAAGUCAUGUAUACUAUAAAAUACAUGGAAGUGUUGAUUUCAUGCAUGAUUUUAUCUGCAUUAUUCUUUUUCUUCUUUUCUCUUAUAUCCGUAGCUACAAAAGAAUUCAAUGGUACAGUAUUUUUUCCUUAUCUGUUUAAUUUAAUUUUUCUCAAUAUUAAUCUUCUAAACAAUCCUAAACAAACAGUACAUGAUGACACAAAACUAUUUUUUCUUUAAAGCCAUGUAGGUGCAGAUUUGAAAAAAUAUAUAUUUUUAUGCUAUUUGGAGAACCACAAGUGGAAUAACUCAGUGACUGAAUUAAUAACUCAAUGCUGGAAAUAGUGCUUGCUGGUAUUUAAGAAAUAAUACUGUACUGGCUUAUGAGAAAUCUUCAGUGCCAAGUGAUAUGUAUAUUUUACUCUCAUUUUUAUGCCCGAACCCUGUGCCAGAUCUGCAUAAACACAAAAACACUUCCUCUUCUUCCUGUUGAUGCUGUGGUAGUGAUGUCAGUCACACUCAAGUAAAAUUUCCCUGUGACAGUUGAUUACAGAAUUGUGAUGGAAUGUAUAUUUCCUACCUCCAAUAAACAUCCUGUUGUGGAAUGUGUGUAUGUUCUGAAUAUGCAAAAACAGAACGUUAGUUCAAGGAAAGCACACUAGUAAACACAUCUGAAGCUUUGGUUUUGAUCCACAAAACAGGUCCUUAAAUCAUUGGCGGAGGAAUAAGUAAUGUUUAAAAAUUAGUAACAGAUCUUUAAAAAAAGAUUCUUUGACACAGUUUCAUAUUGCUUCCAAAAAAUUCUUCCACACGUGGAUGAAGUGAUGGUAUCUCUGUAUCAAAUAAAGGAUUUUGGUUGUUGUUUUUUAAAUACAUUUGCUGAAGAAAAAACAGAGCAUAAGGGAAACAAUACACUUGAUUAGAAAAUUGCUGUUCCAGACAAAAAAAAAAUGCAAUCACAUGACCACAAAAUGCUGCAGCCAGUCGCAAGUGUUAGCAGGUGCCAAGCACCCCAAUUGCAAUCACGUGGUAUGAGGUGGCAGUGUGACGGUUAUCAUCAGUCACUUUUUCAGAGGCCACUGUUACUUUGAAUCGUUUAUACAUCAUAAAUUGAGGACUGCCUGUAGUCCCUUUAAAAGAAAUGUAUUCCUUUCUAAUGCCUCUUUUUCUUUUAAAAGGGUUGUGCAGUGUUUCAGAUUACCAGUUCCAGACACAAAAAUCAGACUGAAUAUCCUGGCAACAGUUUGAGUCAUUUGGGUUUUUUAUUAUUAUAUUUAUGCUUUUGUGGCUGAAAAUUGAGGAUCGAAUGGAUAGGAAUUCUCUGAGAUGACGACUGUGAAAUUUCCCUGUGUUACUGAUAGCUGGAAGGAGACAAGUUUACAGGAUUCAACAAAAAUAAUAAUUGACAGCCUUGUUUGUUUUUUGCAAGAGAGGUGGGAAAACGGCAUGAUGACAUUCACAUUUUCCAUUUGUUUUAGAAUUUUAUUAUGACCAGCAGAUACAGCUUUGUUUAUUCUUGCUAUUUGAUGUAUAAGUGUACACCUGUAUGGGGCAGCUAAUCUCUUCCAAAAUGAGGUGCUUUUCACAAUGAAGGCAAUUUAGUCCAACUGCCAUUCAAAAAGGUUUGGCUGACACAAAAUAAUGUUCCAGGUUUGCUUUGUUUUUUGGAUGCCAGAAUGAGCAGAGAAGAUUGUGGAGACAUUGCUUCUGAAAGCUGCUUCCAAGGAAUGCUUCUGUUAAAGGUUAGUUGAAGCUUUGCCGUAAAAGUUUUCUAUAACGCUAAUAAAACUGACGCAAGAUGUUUGGCUUCUUAGCAACAUAAUGAUAGAAUGAGACUGGACAAAACAUUUGAGGGACAUAUAAAAAACAAAACAAUCCAAAAUAAGAAAUAAAGUCUUUUUGACCCCAGCUACUCCUGGGGAUAAAAAUAUUUCUGUUAACUCUUGGUAUCAUAAUAUACCAAUCUUUACAUUAGCUCUUAUGCAAAGCAGCAUUCAUGAAAUCCGUAUUGUAUACUAUAUUUUAAAUGAAAUAUUAUUCUUCUUGGACAAACCAUUCCAAAUUAUUUCUUUAUAAGAGCAUUAAAAAUGUUUUAGUGUAUUUAAUCAGUGCUUUUUAUUUAUUUGGACUGCAUCUAUUAUUAAAUGGACUUAUACAACAAGACUUUAACUUUCUUCAUCUCACCCUCAUAAAUUUUGCCAUGAGACAACAUAGAGCGUGAUUUGAAAUAUGGUGGCCUGCAGGAAUAAGCAUAUAUGUUUCCCCCCCUCUCUUUUUCCGUCCGUCCCCCCCCCCCCGCAUGUGUGUGUUUGUGUGCUUCUGCUUGUGAUAUCAGCUUCCAGAAAAGCAAACUUCAGGAGUCAAUUCCCUUUUCAGAAUCAAAAUGCUGCUUUAUACUUUUCUUCCAUGGAGUCAGGCAGGUAUUCUAAGCAAUUCUUUGGUUUGGUUGCUGGAAGGAUAAACAUUUGUACUUUUCCAGGAAAAGUCCUGAUAUUCAGAAGCACACCUGUGUUUAUAUAGAAAAUUUAGGCUAAUACCUCUUAACCUAAAUUAAACAAAAUUUAUUUAGGGACAAAAUCUAAAUUUAAUUUAAACUAGAGUAUACAACUAGUUUAGCAAAUGUUAUCGGAGCUGGAUGAUUGGCCUGAUAUACUAAGCUGAGUUUUGCUUUUAGUACAGAAAUUUUGGCUGAGUUCCAUAUUUCAAAAAUUACAUUUGUGAGAACUGAUGGAAGCACAAAGUAAUUGUGUUAUGAUGCAGGACUGGAAGAAAAAUGAGACUUUUUGACUGGAGCAACCUCAUUGAGUUCAGUCUUAAGGCUGAACUGUUUAACUUAAUGAAACUGUACUAUAUGUGUUUAAUUCCACAGAUAUAUUUUGCGAUUUAUCCAGAAGGAGCAUUUUACAAUCCGGAACUACCCAAAGUAAUUGCAUAUAGCCAGUCAUAUGAAAGGUAAUGAAAACUACCCAGAGCUGAUAAACUCAGUGUCUUUAACCGUUGAGCCAUCAUGCACCAUCUAAUUCAGUUUAAUGAAGGUCAAAGAGAUAACAGCUGAAGCAUGCAAAUCAAAACAGAGUCUCUGGCAGACACAUGCCUGGACAGUUUACUCUUAUUGGGAGUGCACAAAAUAGCCCAAAAUCAGUCCAAGAUUCCAAGAGCCCGUUCAGAAGAGCACAGGCAUAAUUCAUAUGAAUUGUUAUACAAGAGCCAGAGAUUAAAUAGUUGUUUCCAGUAAAAGGCUAUAACUCAAGGCUGCCUCUCAAAUCAGGCUGCAGCCAACUGUUGCUUAUCAAGACAUUUACUCAUUUGCUUGACAAGAUGCUUCACAGAAGGGCUCUGCUGUUCUUUCUUUACUCACCAGACUGCUCCAGCUGUGCAGGUGGGGCCUGUUUUCAAUUGGCCUCCUAUGAUUCAUAUGGUUUACAAAACCAGUUUCAAAUCAGAGUCUAAAAAAUCCAGAAACUUGGAUCAACUUUGAAACUUGAAUCAGUUUUUCAAGAUUGUAAAAUAAGUUUGCCUUUAAUUUUACAAAUAACUGCAAUUAAUCAUGUUAUAACUAAAGCAUUUAUAGUGUUCUUCUGGAUUUUAGACUUUCUUUGUAAGGAGUGCUCAAGAAUUCAUAUCCAUAUUGAACAAAUUGAGCUAAAAGGCAUUCGAGAAGGUGGCUUCAUGAAUGUUUUGAAGUCAAGGACAAGUAAGUGGUAAAAGGCCUGCUGCUAUAUCUAUAGUGUUUGAUUUUUUUUCUUUAUUACUUGCAUUGAGAAAUUAGUGGCUGUGAGAGUGGGAAAUAUCAUCCAAACUGCUUUUGUGAUACUUGUGGCUGUAACUGUGAAUCAAUAUGGAAUUGAAUAUCCUUUAUUCUCAGGCCAAAGUAAUUGGUCCAAUUUGAAUCAGAAUAGCCACAUCUAUGAAAUAAUAUUUUGUAAUAGUUAUGGCUGUACUAAUAGCAGUCUAGUUACCUUUGCCUGAAAAUAAAGGAUAUUCAUUCCAUAUUGAUUCACAGAGUAAGGUAACUUGAUUGAUUUUGGCUUUAAAUGUUGUGCAUAUUCACCCAGUGGGUGAAGAAACGUGGGUUUAUUACAUAAAUGUGCUGAGAAUUUAUAGCUUAGCUAAAGUUCCAAUCAUUUUCAUUUGAAUCCAUUUAGCUGCUUUAAUUAUCUAUAUUUGCUUACUUCGGGAAAAUAUAGCUAUGCAAAGCAAUCAGAAUUAGUCCUUCACAAACACAUCAAUAUGAACAAAGCUGAAGUUUGAAGCAGCCACAUCCUUUGUGAGACUCAUGCAGCUGCUUCAAAAGACAAGAACGUUUCCAUUAGAAUUGCUAACAAAAUUGUCUGUGCCUACACAGGGGCAGCUGGCAAUAUUCCUUCCAGGGAUUGUGACUGCUUGAAUAUUUCAGACAGAGAUGCUUCAUAGGUACUAAAUUGCUUUGUAUCACACCUCUUUGAAUGCUUGGUACAGCCCUAAAAAUAAAUCUGGCCAAAUUACACACCGUAGUAAAAUUUGUGCUAUUUGCAGAUGAAGAUUAAAAAAUCCAAUCCCUGAUGUAUGAAAGAAAGAAUUUCAGGCCAAACGUUAUGAUUCUUAGAGGAAAGUAUUUGUGAUAAAUUAUAAGAAAUAACCAGAGAAUUGUAUAAAAGCUCCUAACCAAAAGUUUGUGAUAAAUAAAUCUCGUUUUCCUUGCUCUUAGAUUGCUUAAUAGAAUUUUAUGAUGCAAAAGAUUCUAAAAGAAGAAAUAGGUUCCCUGGGAAAAGUGUUCACUCCAAACUAAGUCUCCAAAAAACAUUGCCAUCCUUAUUAUUUUAAGCGGCUUGACUGCCAGCAUGCUACUGACAGAGUCUGGAAGGAAACUUUACCUAAAAACAUGGCUAUAUAGGAGUUUAUUAGGCUGUUUCUGGGUCAGUAUUAAAGCAGAAAAACUGCACUUUCAUUCAGUGGCUUUUCCCUCUUGCUGUAUACAUCACAUCAAUUUUUUUCCUAAAUUGUAUAUUAACAUUUUAAAUAAAGUCUUAUCAAUUGAAUAAGCCAAAUUUCAAGUCCAUCCUUCCUGAUUAUAAAAGCUUCAGGAGUCAGUUCACUAAAGCCUCUUGCUUUCAUCCUCUCUGAAUUCUUUCAGUAACCUUUGAAUGAAACGAAGUGGUGUACUCUACGACAGGGAUCACCAACCUUUUGGACCUCAGGGACCACUAAAUUCAAAAUUUUAUAUCUCGCAAACUACUAAUAUGAUCUGCCUAAUGACUGGCUGGGUGGGCAUGGUUAGGUGGUCAUGUGACUGGAUGGGCAUAGUCAACUCAAUGUCACUCACAUCGCUGUCCUCUACUCACCCCUCCUCUUUCAGCCCCUCCUCACCUGCCCACCGAGGCUCCUUAGGGCCCCAACAGGAAGAAGUUGCUAGAGCUAAGGAGCUACCACAAGAAAGAGUUGGCAAAACAGCUCAGUUCAAAUUGGAACUGACUGAGAAGGAGGCUCAGCAGAAGCACCUCACUGAGGACUACGAGCAUAGGCUUUCCAAGCAGAGGGAAGACCUGCAGGAGUGCAAGGCCAGGUACUGGCGCCUGGAGGCUUAGUGGGCUGAGAUGGUCAGCCAGUUCCAGGCCAUGAUGCAGUCCCACUGGAACAAGGCCCUCCGGCUCCUUGCCACCAGUGGCACUUCCCUCCAGCAUUUGCCCAAAGCCCCACACCAGGAGGCUGAAGCAGACUUCAAGUCAGAAUUUCUGCCCCCCUCUGACCCGCACAAAAAGACUCCGAAGGGUGAGACUCUGCAGCAACACAAAUAUUCACUGCACAUAACCAGCCCAAGGGCCGUUGUUUGAGGACCCCUGAUUUAGUGCAAUAUAAAAAAUGCAAAUAAUUUUUAUGCAAACCACCAAAAUUUUCUCAUGGAUCACCAGUUGGUGACCGCUGCUCUACAAGGUAACUCUCAAGUAGUUUUAAAACUAUUUCGCACAAAGUCACCCAAGCACACCAUGAACUUCUGCAACUUCCUGCAUAGUCAUGUGAGGCUGCAAGAGAAUUAGAAAUAAAGGAUUACAUUUCUGACAGAUUACUUGGCCAGGAUACAGUUUGAUAUGAUUAGCUCUAGGUAGGUAUAUACUACAGGCCACCCAAUCAAGCACAGGUAAUACAUGUAGUCCUUGGCUUACGAUCACAAUUGAGCCCAAAAUUUAUGUUGCUAAGUGAAAAAUUUGUUAAAUGGGUUUUGCCCCAUUUUACAACUUUAUUUGCCACAUUUAUUAAGUGAUUCACUGCUCUUGUUAAGUUAGUAACACAGUUGUAAGUGAAUCUGGUUUCCCCAUUGCCUUUGCUCAUCAGAAGGUCGCAGAAGCUGAUCACAUGACCCCAGGACACUGCAACCAUCAUAAAUAUGAACCAGUUGACAAGCAUCCAAAUGUAAAUCACAUGGGGAUGCUGCAGUGGUCAUAAGUGUGAAAAAUGGUCUUAAGUCACUUUUUUCAGUGCCGUUGUAACUUUGAACAGUCACUAAAUGAACUGUUGUAAGUCAAACUCUGCUAAUCAGCUAAGGUGUCAGGAAAAACACUCCCACUUGCUGCAGAGUUUCCAGGAUCGUUAAAGUUCCCCGUUACUUCUGUGGUGUGUUUCCUGCACACCUUAGCUAACCAACUAUUAAAAAAUUCAUCUAUUUCUUCUGAUUUGUUGGGUGACCUAUAGUAUGGCAACAUCGUUCUUUUUUUUCCCUUUUACUCAUAUGCAUUCAAGGAGGCUUUCAUCCUUUGUUUUAUGCAUUUCUGUAGAGGUGUAGUGAUUUCUUACAUAUAAUGCAAUGCCACUUCCUCUUUUUUUAGAUCUGUUUUUUUUGAAUAGUUUAUAUCUUCCCAACAGUACAUUUCAGUCAUGAGUUUAAUCCCACCAAGUUUAGGCAACUAUAUUAUACAUGCCCUCAUGUACUAGACCUAAUUCUCCCUGUUUUUCCUCAUACUUUGAGCAUCAGUGUACAGACAUUUUAAUCCUUUACAGCUGACCCUGUAUUUGUUUCCUAUAUCUCCUGUUUUGAGUUCCUUUUCCUUCCCACCACUCCCUACCUGAUCAUUUGAUUGGUUGUCUUGGGGUUUAUGCUUGGGAUUAAGUCCUAAAAAUUGGUCACCCUUCCCUUCCAGUUUUAGUUUAAAGCAUAAGCAAAUACGGACACAUUCUUCCUGGUUCUUCCCAAUACUUUUUACAGAUAUACUGUAGUUCUUUCAGUAUAAAGUUUGUUGGGUGCAGUCCACAUCAUGGAUGGUUAUCCCAGGGAAGGAAUGUUACAUAUAAUCCAUGGUGCAGAAUAAUCAUAAAAGGAGAUGAGAAAGAACGAAUUGUAGUACGUCAAAGUACUUUUCAAGCAGGAGACAGAUGCCAUUCCAGACAAAUGGUUGUCCAAUCCCUUCUUUAAAAACUCCAGUGUUGGAGCACCCGUAACUUCUGGAGGCAAGUCAAAUAUUUGGUCAGGUACCUGAGGAACAGGGACUUCAGCCGUUCAAUAUGUCUUGCAUUCUUUUUCAACCACAGUUGAAAAGAUUUGCAAAAGAGCACUUAGUUGAGCGGAAAUAAAUCUCAUGGUUCAGUUGUCUCCCAGCAACUAAAACGUUCCUCUAAGGAAGGGGUGUCAAACUGGCAGCCUGUUAGCCAGAUGCGUCACGCGCAAACUACACCCACACCAGCUCCGCGAAGGGGAAAAACAUUGUGAAAUGUCACAUGACAGCAACGUGAUGCCAUGAGUUUGACAUCCAUGUUCUAAGGCAUUUGGAGCACUCCAAUUUUUAAAGUUAGUUAGAUUGUUGUUAAUUAUCUGGUAUUAUCUGACCAUGCUGGAAAUAUCAGUGAGAAAUAGUUGAAGAACAUAGCAACAUGUUCUUCUAAGCCAGGCAUUUUCUUCAGAUGAACUGCAUGAAUGAGGGAAAAUGCAAAAACUUCAACUUUUUUCUUAUUUUGCUUGUCAGCCCCUUUCCUCUUUUUACUAAGGUAUUUAGGUGUUCAUAAAACACAAAAAGAUACAGAAGCAAUUGUUAAUUGCUAUAAUUUUAGGUUGACUUAGAAAAGAAUCUGAAAAGGAAUAAGAAUAGCAAUUACAUGUAAUGACUCUCGUGCGCAAAUGCUCAUACGUAGUCUACUUUCUGUGGAAAGUUCCCAGAUUGGAUAAAAUAAAGUAAGAUGAUAAAAUCCAAAAUUAUAAACAUUGAAAUCAUAAACAAUUCUGAAACCAUAGAAGAAGACCAUGACAGGGCUGGAAGCAGAAGCUGGACUACAUCUGGAAAGCAUUGUGCAGAGGAAGACUGGGUUAUGUUGCACUAAAGUUGAUGGCAAAUAGUCCAUAGAUAUUUUUUUAAAAAAAAAAUCCUGGCACUCCACUGGAUUGAACAUUUUAGGAGCCAAUUUUAUGACAUGGGUUGAAUUGCAGUGUAAUCAAGUAAUCAGUUUAAUUUUCCCACUCCAUGCAGAUAUCAAUUUAAGCACCUUUGGGAACUCUCGUUUUAUGACCUGCAAAUGUGCAAUUCUAAGUAAAAGCCAAAAAAUCCUUGUUAACAAGAUAUAAAUGAACUUUCUGGUACGGAUAGUCCUCGACUUACAACAGUUCAUUUAGUGACUGUUCGAAGUCAGCACUGAAAUGGCACUGAAAAAUGUGGGUUAUGACCAUUUUUCACACUUAGGACCAUUGUAAUAUCCCAAUUAUCACUUGAUCAAAAUUCAGAUGCUUGGCAACUGACUCAUAUUUAUGACAGUUGAAGUAUCCCGAGGUCAUGUGAUUUCUUUUGCAGCCUUCUGACAAGUAAAGUCAAUGAGGAAGUGAGAUUCACUUAACAACUGCAGUGAUUCACUUAACAACAGUGACAAGAAAUGUUGUAAAAUUGGAUAAAAAUCACUGAACAAAUAUCUCACUUAGCAACAGAAAUCUGUGGCUCAAUUGUGAUCAUAAGUUGAGGAAUACCCAUAGUCUAUGAAGCCUUAGUUCUAAUAUUUUCUAUGAAUGUUGUGGUGUACUGUAUGUAAUAAAAUCUGCAUUUGUUUACAUUUCAAAUAUUUACAAACAUUUUUGUUUCAGUGCCAAAACACCCCCCCCUUUUUUUUAAGCUAUCAGUUAUAACUAACAUCAACACAUUGUGGUAUAUUUGAUGAUUUAUUACAGCAUUCUUAAACUAAAUUUCUUUGGAUACUACUCUAAAAAAAGGUUGUUGUUUUUCCCCCUUUGAUAGCAAAAUAUGUGCUCUGAAUUGUUCCAAAAAACAUAAGGCAAUAUAAAGUUUCUCUGAGGAUGACCUCAAAAUCUCCUAGCAAGUUUUAUGCAGAUAGUCAAAUAUCCAGGUUACAGAGGUUGCAGGUGGGGUGUUAAACUGGUGGCCGGCAGGCAUCACGUGCAAGCCACAUCCACCCCAGCUCCGCGAAGGGGAAAACCAUCACAAAACAUCACGUGAUGGCAAUGUGACGCCACACGCUUGACAGCCAUGGUUUAGGGUUUGCCUUAUAUUUUCUUUGCCGUUGCAAGCCACCUUGUUUGUCAAGGGGAUAAAAAGAUGAGGGUACAAAUGAAAUAAUUAAUAAUCAAAUACAAAUAAGAGGGAUUCAACUCUUGGGCUAACAUACAAUUUUAUUAAUGAGCCAGUGUUAUAAUGCUGGAUUUAUGGAACCAUUUGCUACUCUGUUUCCCCGAAAAUAAGACUCAACUGGAAAAUAGGCCCUAGCAUGAUUUUUCAGGAUGCUUGUAAUAUAAACCCGACCCUCAAAAUAAGCCCCAGUUAAGAUUGUCAGCCAAAUGGGUGUAUUUAAUACUGCAUUUCCCCAAAAAUGAGACCUAAUCAGAAAAUAAGUCCUAAUGUGUCUUUUGGAGCAAAAAUUAAUAUAAGACCUGGUCUUAUUUUCAGGGAAACACAGUAUUUUCUGAAUGUUAUAGGAACUGCUAUGACUACUAGUAACAUAUUGCAAAUAUUUCCAAUAAUAUUAAUUUUCCAUAUAUAAUAGUAACUCAAAGACCAUUGUCAAAUAUGAGAAUUAUUAUGGUCAUGGAUAUCUAAAGGCAUUUUUUAAAAACACAAGAAGAGAAACUAUAGCAUACAUAUUAGGUGUUCUCUACACAAAAGGCAAAUGAAAUAUAUGCACAAAUACAUCUCAUAAAUUUACUUUUAUUAUUUGUAUUGAUAUAACUUAACUAAAGCUUACACUCUCAAAAUUACAGAAAUAGUUGGACAGCAUUAAAAAAGUUACCUUUUUAUCCACCAAUGCAAAUACUAGAGCUUUUAAGUUUUUCAAGUUCUAAAUGCAAACUGAAUCUGGUACUGUAAAAGUGCUCCUGAGAAAGAAGUCAAAGAUGAUGAUGAUGAUGAUGGAGAAGAAGAAGAAGAAGAAAAUUUAUUUGCCUAUCUCACUGUGGGGUUAGGCAAGAGAACAGCAAGUUCAUUUCCAAACUGUACAUCUGGUGCUUCAAGGGGAAGUGUCAACUAACUCUCCUUAUCCAACUCCACUGUUCCUCGACUUAUGACCACAAUUCAGCCCAAAAUCUCUGUUGCUAAGUGAGACAUUUGUUAAAUGAAUUUUGUCCCAUUUUACAACCUUUUUUGCCACCGUUGUUAAGUGAUUCACUGCAAUUGUUAAGUUAGUCACAUGAGUCUGGCUUCUCCAAUGAUUUUACCUGCUAGAAGGUUGGAAAAAGUGAUUUCAUGACCCCGGGACACUGCAAUCAUCAUAAAUGUGAAUCGGUUGCCAAGCAUCUGAAUUUUGAUCACUUGACCAUGAGGAUGCUGCAACGAUCGUAAAUGGGAAAAAUGGUCAUAAGUCACUUUUUCAGUGCUGCUGCAACUUUGAACAAUCACUAAACGAACUGUUGUAAAUCUAUGACUACCUGUACUUCAAUCUUUCUUUUUUAGAUCAAGUUUCAGUUUGUUUGCUCUCAUCCAUAGCUUAUUUAGACCUUCUUCAAAUUCCAGAGGAUUCCCAUAGUUUUCCAGUACUUUUUAUUUCCCUUUGUAUUUUAUGUUUUGAUAAACUAAUAAAAAAGUUGUAAAGGUAUUUUUUUUCUCCUUCAUCCAUUCCUAAUUCUAAACUGGUUUGCUAACAAGCACUUGCAGGUUGCAGAAAAAUAUGGCCAUAUAGACCCAGAAGGCAUAGUAGAUAUCUCUGAUAAAAAAUGGUUUGUAUCAGCAAACCAUUAGCAGAAGCUAAAUUAUCUAGUUUAAAAUGUGUUUUGUAGAUAUCCUGUCACUGAGAUACAGAUUAUGUUUUAUGAGAGUCUCCAGGGACAGACGUGCAAAUGGAAAUCUUGAAUUAUCAUCC